GUGCUACAAGCCUAGCUGCUAAUGCGCCAAAAGCCAGUUGUAGGAGGGAAACAGUGUAGAGAUGGUCUUCAGUGCCACCAUCCGUCCGUCUUUCUUCCAGCUGUGCCAGAUCUCCCUCUCCCAGGCAGAAUCCUGCAGGAGUGGGGCACGGACAGCUGCCUGGCAAGGAGGGUUAAGAGGAGAAGAACCGGAAGAGAUCUAACUUGGUUUUUAUACGAAGUUUCAACCAGUCCUCCUGUUUUCAGGCCUGCCCAGCACUCCCACCUUCGGAGGAACCAGUUGCCCCCAAAGGCUGAGUCUUUCUGGGAUUCUCAGACUCGUUGAUCUGUUUUUCCUUUGACGUGGGAUUUCACCAUAUUGGCCAGGCUGGUCUCGAACUCCUGACCUCGUGAUCCACUGGCUUCUGCCUCCCAAAGUGCUGGGAUUACAGGUGUGAGCCACCACACUGGCUUACCAAGGCAGACAAGUUCAUCUUCAAGAAAACUAAGAGAUCUCUUCCCCUGACAAAAAACAACUCCAUGUUUGAUGGGACUCAGACCUGGGCUCUUCUGUCACCUCUAGGUAGGGAGGUCUUGGAGAGCAAGUGAGACCAGAGUGUUCAUGGAAAGUCACCAUCCACAGACAUUGGAAAAAUAGUCAUUCCCAAUUUCUGCUAUGUGAUCCCGUUUAGGAGUCACCCUACCAAGUGGGUAUGAUGAUGAAGGUGAGCUGCUAAGAAAGAGGUUGAGAGACAGCUGAUGUUUGUUUCAAGCAAAUCUUCUUUAACCCGAGGCACCAGGAGCAGAGGGCCAGUGGGUAAAAAGGUUAAGUAGGAUGGAAUCUACAAUAAAGCCAAAUGUGUGGGUUCUAUUGCUGAUCUUGUCGUUAUUUUGGAUUUUUGGAGUGGAGAUGAAAUGAAAAUGUUUGUUUU
rnacentral:lncRNA from 1 species